rnacentral:rRNA from 1 species
UACGGAGGGUGCAAGCGUUAUCCGGAAUCACUGGGUUUAAAGGGUGCGUAGGCGGGUUAUUAAGUCAGUGGUGAAAUACUGUCGCUUAACGAUAGAACUGCCAUUGAUACUGAUAGUCUUGAAUUGGGUUGAGGUUAGCGGAAUGUGACAUGUAGCGGUGAAAUGCAUAGAUAUGUCAUGGAACACCAAUUGCGAAGGCAGCUAACUGGGCCUUGAUUGACGCUGAGGCACGAAAGCGUGGGUAGCGAACAGG